rnacentral:rRNA from 1 species
GAUGAACGCUGGCGGCGUGCUUAACACAUGCAAGUCGAACGGAAAGGCCCAAGCUUGCUUGGGUACUCGAGUGGCGAACGGGUGAGUAACACGUGGGUGAUCUGCCCUGCACUUCGGGGUAAGCCUGGGAAACUGGGUCUAAUACUGGAUAGGACCACGUCUUGGGUGUUGUGGUGGAAAGUUUUUUCGGUUGGGGAUGAGCUCGCGUCCUAUCAGCUUGUUGGUGGGGUAAUGUCCUACCAAGGCGUCGGCGGGUAGCCGGCCUGGGGGGGUGUACGGCCACAGUGGGACUGGGACUAGGCCCCGACUCCCACGGGAAGGAGCAGUGGGGGAUGUUGAAAUAGGGGAGUGAGCCCGAUGCCGAUACGGCCCGGCGGGGAUGACGGUCUUCGGGUUGGAAAUGCCUUUCGCUAGGGACGAAGCGGUUUGUGACGGUACCUGGAGAAGAAGCACCGGCUAACUACGUG